rnacentral:rRNA from 1 species
GACGGAGGGUGCAAGCGUUGUUCGGAUUGACUGGGCGUAAAGGGCGUGUAGGCGGUUGGUCAAGUCCGAUGUGAAAGCCCGGGGCUCAGCUUCGGAAGUGCAUCGGAAACUAGCCAGCUGGAGCGCGAUAGAGGAGGGCGGAAUUCCUGGUGUAGCGGUGAAAUGCGUAGAGAUCCGGAGGAACCCCAGAGGCGAAGGCGGCCCCCUGGCUCGUACCUGACGCUCAGCCACGAAAGCAUGGGGAGCGAACGGG